rnacentral:rRNA from 1 species
UGGGGAAUUGUUCGCAAUGGGCGCAAGCCUGACGACGCAACGCCGCGUGGAGGACGAAGAUCUUCGGGUCGUAAACUCCUGUCGAGCGGGAAGAACACCCGCCUGGUGAAUAACCGGGAGGGCUGACGGUACCGCUACAGGAAGCCCCGGCUAACUCCGUGCCAGCAGCCGCGGUAAUACGGGGGGGGCAAGCGUUGUCCGGAUUGACUGGGCGUAAAGCGCACGCAGGCGGCUGUGCACGUGGGGUGUGAAAGCUGGCGGCUUAACUGCCAGACGCCACCUCAUACGGCACGGCUCGAGCCCGUGAGAGGUCCACGGAAUUGCCGGUGUAGUGGUGAAAUGCGUAGAGAUCGGCAGGAACACCCAGGGGGAAACCAGUGGACUGGCACGGUGCUGACGCUCAGGUGCGAAAGCGUGGGGAGCGAAC